AGUGGCGGACGGGUGAGUAACGCGUGAGAAUCUGCCUUGGGGUCGGGGACAACCACUGGAAACGGUGGCUAAUACCGGAUAAGCCGAUUGGUGAAAGAUUUAUUGCCCGAAGAGGAGCUCGCGUCUGAUUAGCUAGUUGGUGAGGUAAGAGCUCACCAAGGCAGCGAUCAGUAGCUGGUCUGAGAGGACGAUCAGCCACACUGGGACUGAGACACGGCCCAGACUCCUACGGGAGGCAGCAGUGGGGAAUUUUCCGCAAUGGGCGAAAGCCUGACGGAGCAAGACCGCGUGAGGGAGGAAGGCUCUUGGGUUGUAAACCUCUUUUCUCAGGGAAGAAGCUCUGACGGUACCUGAGGAAUCAGCCUCGGCUAACUCCGUGCCAGCAGCCGCGGUAAUACGGAGGAGGCAAGCGUUAUCCGGAAUUAUUGGGCGUAAAGCGUCCGCAGGUGGCGAUUCAAGUCUGCUGUCAAAGCACUGGGCUUAACUCCGUAAAGGCAGUGGAAACUGAAUAGCUAGAGUGCCGUAGGGGUAGAGGGAAUUCCCGGUGUAGCGGUGAAAUGCGUAGAGAUCGGGAAGAACAUCGGUGGCGAAAGCGCUCUACUGGACGGCAACUGACACUCAGGGACGAAAGCUAGGGGAGCGAAUGGGAUUAGAUACCCC
rnacentral:rRNA from 1 species